rnacentral:rRNA from 1 species
AGUGAACGCUGGCGGUAGGCCUAACACAUGCAAGUCGAACGGCAGCACAGCAAGAGCUUGCUCUUACGGGUGGCGAGUGGCGGACGGGUGAGGAAUACAUCGGAAUCUACUUUUUCGUGGGGGAUAACGUAGGGAAACUUACGCUAAUACCGCAUACGACCUACGGGUGAAAGCAGGGGAUCUUCGGACCUUGCGCGAUUGAAUGAGCCGAUGUCGGAUUAGCUAGUUGGCGGGGUAAAGGCCCACCAAGGCGACGAUCCGUAGCUGGUCUGAGAGGAUGAUCGGCCACACUGGAACUGAGACACGGUCCAGGCUCCUACGGGAGGCAGCAGUGGGGAAUAUUGGACAAUGGGCGCAAGCCUGAUCCAGCCAUACCGCGUGGGUGAAGAAGGCCUUCGGGUUGUAAAGCCCUUUUGUUGGGAAAGAAAAGCAGCAGGUUAAUACCCCGCUGUUCUGACGGUACCCAAAGAAUAAGCACCGGCUAACUUCGU